rnacentral:rRNA from 1 species
CAAUAGCGUAUAUUUAAGUUGUUGCAGUUAAAAAGCUCGUAGUUGGAUUUCGGGUGGGACGCAGCGGUCUCGCAUUGCGUUUGUACUGCUGCAGCCCUCCUUCUUGCCGGGGGCGGCCUCUCGGACUUCACUGUCUGGGGGUCAGAAUCGGCGAUGUUACUUUGAGUAAAUUAGAGUGUUCAAAGCAAGCUUACGCUCUGAAUAUAAUAGCAUGGGAUAACACGACAGGACUCUGGCCUAUCGUGUUGGUCUAUAGGACCAGAGUAAUGAUUAAGAGGGACAGUCUGGGGCAUUCGUAUUCCGUUGUCAGAGGUGAAAUUCUUGGAUUUACGGAAGACGAACAUCUGCGAAAGCAUUUGCCAAGGAUGUUUUCAUUGA